rnacentral:rRNA from 1 species
UGAAAUCUGGCCGUUCCGUGGCCCGAGUUGUAAUUUGUAGAGGAUGCUUCGGGUGCGGCGCCGGUCUAAGUUCCUUGGAACAGGACGUCAUGGAGGGUGAGAAUCCCGUACACGACCGGCGACCUAGCCCGUGUGAAGCUCCUUCGACGAGUCGAGUUGUUUGGGAAUGCAGCUCUAAAUGGGUGGUAAAUUUCAUCUAAAGCUAAAUACCGGCCAGAGACCGAUAGCGCACAAGUAGAGUGAUCGAAAGAUGAAAAGCACUUUGGAAAGAGAGUUAAAAAGUACGUGAAAUUGUUGAAAGGGAAGCGCUUGCGAUCAGACUUGCUCGGGGGUGAUCAGCCGUCCUUCUGGGCGGUGCACUCGCCCGCGAUCAGGCCAGCAUCGGUUCGGGCGGUUGGAUAAAGGCCCCGGGAAUGUGGCUCCCUCCGGGGAGUGUUAUAGCCCGGGGUGCAAUGCGGCCCGCCCGGACCGAGGACCGCGCUUCGGCUAGGAUGCUGGCGUAAUGGUCGCAAGCGACCCGUCUUGAAACACGGACCAAGGAGUCUAACAUCUAUGCGAGUGUUUGGGUGUCAAACCCAUGCGCGCAAUGAAAGUGAACGGAGGUGGGAACCCUCAAGGGUGCACCAUCGACCGAUCCUGAUGUCUUCAGAUGGAUUUGAGUACGAGCAUAGCUGUUGGGACCCGAAAGAUGGUGAACUAUGCCUGAAUAGGGUGAAGCCAGAGGAAACUCUGGUGGAGGCUCGCAGCGGUUCUGACGUGCAAAUCGAUCGUCAAAUUUGGGUAUAGGGGCGAAAGACUAAUCGAACCAUCU